AGUGAACGCUGGCGGCAUGCCUAAUACAUGCAAGUCGAAGGUAGUGGCGCACGGGUGAGUAAUAUAUAGCUAAUCUGCCCCUUGCUGGAGGACAACAGUUCGAAAUGACUGCUAAUACUCCAUAGAAAGGGAUGAGACUGUAUCGUAUCAGCUAGUCGGUGGGGUAACGGCCUACAGAGGCUAUGACGCGUAACUGGUCGAAGAGGAUGAUCAGUAGCAUUGGAAGGGAGACACGAGUGGAGCUCCUUGGGGAAGCAGCGGUAGGGUGAGCUGCCCAAGCGGGGAGACUGUGGCGGAGCAACGGCGCGUGGAGGAUGAUAAUUUUCGAAGCGUAGAAUCCUUUUGUUACGGAAGCGGUACCUAACGAAUAAGCACCGGCUAACUCCGUGCCAGCAGCCGCGGUAAUUC
rnacentral:rRNA from 1 species